rnacentral:misc_RNA from 1 species
GGGGCCAUGAACAACUGCAAUACCAUCAUAGGAUACAAUUAAAAUUUCAUUUGGACUAUGCAAGUACAAGUUCCAUCAACUUUCAGAAGCUUACAAAUUUCCCUAUCUUUAUCGUGAAUAAUGAAGUUCAAUAAUUUUUACACUACUGUACUUCUAGACAGAUUAUCGAUUAUUAAAUUAAAAUCUAAUUAACAUUUAUUGAAUUAACUUUAGCACUAGAAAAUGACCCCCGCCAGAGACGUAUCCUUUAUUAAAACCAUGAUGUUUUCA